UACGGAGGGGGCUAGCGUUGUUCGGAAUCACUGGGCGUAAAGCGCGCGUAGGCGGGUUGGUAAGUUGGGGGUGAAAUCCCAGGGCUCAACUCUGGAACUGCCUUCAAAACUCCCAGUCUGGAGGUCGAGAGAGGUGAGUGGAAUUCCGAGUGUAGAGGUGAAAUUCGUAGAUAUUCGGAGGAACACCAGUGGCGAAGGCGGCUCACUGGCUCGAUACUGACGCUGAGGUGCGAAAGCGUGGGGAGCAAACAGG
rnacentral:rRNA from 1 species